rnacentral:rRNA from 1 species
GACGUAGGGCGCGAGCGUUGUCCGGAUUUAUUGGGCGUAAAGAGCUCGUAGGCGGCUUGUCACGUCGAUUGUGAAAGCCCGAGGCUUAACCUCGGGUCUGCAGUCGAUACGGGCUAGCUAGAGUGUGGUAGGGGAGAUCGGAAUUCCUGGUGUAGCGGUGAAAUGCGCAGAUAUCAGAAGGAACACCGGUGGCGAAGGCGGAUCUCUGGGCCACUACUGACGCUGAGAAGCGAAAGCAUGGGAGCGAACAGG